UGGCGAACGGGUGAGUAACGCGUGAGGAACCUGCCUCAAAGAGGGGGACAACAGUUGGAAACGACUGCUAAUACCGCAUAAGCCCACGGGUCGGCAUCGACCUGAGGGAAAAGGAGCAAUCCGCUUUGAGAUGGCCUCGCGUCCGAUUAGCUAGUUGGUGAGGUAACGGCUCACCAAACCUUCGAUGGAUAGGGGUUCUGAGAGGAAGGUCCCCCACAUUGGAACUGAGACACGGUCCAA
rnacentral:rRNA from 1 species